GUUGAGAAUAAUAAUCAAACACAUCAAAGAAAAUCAUCAUAUUAUCACUUUAUCACUCUCUUCUUUUGUCUCCCAAUAUUAUCAAGCAUAAAUCCAUCUCUAAACCAAAAACCCACUACUACUUCGGCACAUAAAAUUCCAACAAGAGGGCUUAUAGCAACACUUCCCAUUCUAUUUUGCUCAUACGCAAAUUGAUUUUGAGAUAAAUGUUAUAUUUACUCUAUUGUUUUGGAAUGGGUUUGGUUCAAGCAUAUGGUUAAACAGUUUUUAGGCUAUGUUAUCCUUGUUAUGUAUUUGUUUAAUAAUAAUAAUAAUUGUACUCAGUUUUGUUGUUAGGAAAUUCCCAGGUGAUUCUCUUUGAGUUUAUUAGUAUGAAGUAUGGUGAUCUUUCGAAAGUAGCUAAUUGGGUACUCUGUGUGAUUAUAAGAUUGUUGAUCCUAUUAAAAACUUCGUGAAUCAUCCAGUAUUUUGUUCUCCUUAUUGUUGAAUAUGGAAGGGAAUAAUUGCUUUAAAUGAAAGCUGCUUAUAUUUCUCUUUCUAUAACUUACUAAGGGUUAAUUUAGUUAAUUAUUCUGAAGAGUUUUUACCAUUUUCAUUUCUGUGCGAUAGCCUGGUCUCUGUAGGUUAUGUUCUUGAAAUUUUUAAUAGUGUGAGAGGGAGCAUCAUACUAAGGUUUGGAUCUUUCAUCUGGAUUUGUGGUCUUGUAAGUAGGUAUUCUGAAGGCUUAUAUUAAGAACUUGAGCAAGUGUUCCAUGCGUAGGAAUAGGGAAAAGAUUACUCAUGAGUCAUGACAUUAGAUUUUAAUUGUUGGCAGCUAUUGCUAUAUGAAGAGAGAGCUGUUUGACAGUACCGAUGAAGUCGAUUUGCUUUAAUUUCUUCGGUGGAAAUGUGUAAUGCUCCUCAAUUUGUAAGUUUUGUUCAUAUUUCAAUAGAGAAAAUUAUAUUUUGAUGGAUGGUUCACCUGUCAAAUAGGAAUGGGAUUCCUUAGUUCUUAACUAUGUUUCUUAAUUUUUUUUCACCAUUAUUUUCCAAAACUCUCCCUUUCUCUUCCUCGAUCUCUAUGUCUCUCUUCUAUUUGCUCUUCCUUUUUAUGUUUCAUAACUUGUAUUUAAGAAUGAAAUAACACGGUUUUGGAAAAUCUAUGUCAUCCUACCUAGGAAUGGGAUUACUUUUUUCUUAAUGUGGCUUGUAAGAGUUAUAUCUUUGCAUAUCUUAUAUGUUGACAUGUUGUACAUAGUAAUUAUUAUUAGUUUGCUGUCCUUGCUCCAAUAAGUUUAGCUUUUUACAUGAAAAUUUCAUUAUUUAAUUUUACUGUAACACUUUGUUUUUAUGGGUGGAAUGUCUAGCAUUUCAUUAAAUUACUUUUGAGGAUAAGCUUCAUUUAUACAGUAUUACUUUUAAAGUGAAUACGAACACGCUCUUCUUAUCUCUAACCGAAGAGACAUUGGUUGGUUUAUUGGAUGUAUUUUAGCUCAGGAUUAUUUUGGCUUAAACAUGAGUUGUUGUGGGUUGUUAGCAUAUGAUUGCCAAUGUGACUAAAAUAGAUUACAGCCUGCUCAAAAUUGAGUGAAGCAAUUCUUCCUCUUAAUUUGCUGAUGCCUUAAAUCAAUUGCGAAUAGCAUGCACAUUAUUCAUGAAAGUUAUUUGGUUGAUUUGAUGAGGAUUUAUAUAAAAAAAAUAAGGUCUUGCGUUGGAAUUUAAGGAGGACCUCUCUAUACAAAUAUGCACGACAAAUAUCUUGAGGGAAGGGAUGGUUCAUGGGUCAACCGGGGAAAGGGUUUAUGACCUUUUCACUGGCCUUGUUUUGCUUUCUAGGAAAAUAGAAAAUUACCUUUGCAGAUUUUUAUUUUUUUAUUUUUUGUUUCAAGAAAUAUAAACCUCUGUCUAAAAUAGUUUACCUUCAAUGGUUUUAUUUUAAUAUGACAUGAGCAUGUGUAUUAUACAUUAUUUUCAUAAAAUUACUAGAGAUAUUUGCUUGUGAUUCACUAUGUUGAUAUUUGCUUUAUGAGGGUUGUUCUUGUGAUUCACUAUGUUGAUAUUUGCUUUAUUUUUUUAUUUUUUAUUUUUAUUUUUAUUUUAUUUUAUUUUUAUUAAUUUUUUUGUGAUUAUGAUUAAUUAAUUGAUAGGACCUGAGAUAGGAUGAUUGCACAUAAAUAUUGCAUACAUUUUCUUUGUUACUGUUUUCUUUAUUACUAUGGAAUGUUAUGAAAAUUGUUUGUUUUGGGAUAGUUGGAUAUCAAAAAUUACAUUAUAUUGAUUCAUGUGAAUUGGAAGGCUAUUAGCUUAAUUGGUAGAGCAAUGUGCUAUCCUGUACAGUAUGUGGGUUCGACUCCCACAUAGCUUGAUAUAUUUAUGUCGAUUGAUGAAUUUUGCUCAUGGCUAAUAUUUCUUUUGUUUCAAAAAAAAAUUGCUACAUUUUGACUAGCACGUUUGUCGAUACACAACUUUAAUUGUAAUUUUUAUAAUUAUAUAUUAGUAAAAAAUUUAAAAUGUUGAUAGUAUGAAAAUAUACAAUAAAAUUUCAACAAUAUUUUACUUGAUAACAUAAGCUUUCAAUAAAUUAGUAAAAAUAUGUAACAUUACAAGGAGGAGCAAGGAGAAGGAGAAAGAAAUUGAGUCCGAGAAAAAGGAAGAGAGAGUUUGGGGAAAUAAAUGGAGGGGGAUACUUUUUAGACUGUAAUUGAUUAAGGAGAUGAUAAUACUUUUUUAAAACUAUCUAUCUUUAAUGCUCAAAAUCAUAAAAGACGAGUUAGUGAAAGAAAAAACUAAAGGGAAAGAGAAACAGAGUGAGCAAGAAGGGGGAAGGACAACUCAAUCAUUAGAUUGGGACAAGCUUGCUUCUUUCAUUAACUGUAAUUACUUAAUCAACGUGGUUAUGUGACAAUUAUGAGAAUGUAAGGCCGAUUAGGAUCUCCUUAAGAAUAAAAAUUUCAACCUUAUAGUAGUGUCAUGAUAGAUAUAAGUGAGUGAUUUUUUUGAAGUGUUCAUAUAAUCAUGAGAGAGAGAGAGAGAGAGACUGAUUUGCUGAAAGCUCUUGCUAUUUUUGCUGCUUUUUUGACAGGUGCUGUAGCCAUUAAUCAUUCCUGGGUUGCUGCUAAUCAGGAUCUUGCUAUUUGGAAUAGGAUAUGCCGGGAUGGGCAUAUAUAGGUUGAACUUGCACAUGGUGGCGAGGAUCAGGAUCAUCAUGUGCUGUGCUGGAGGGGCGCUAUGGUAUAUUUUUCAUGGUUGAUGGUUACAAUACCUAUGACAAUUAUGAGAAUUGGAGCAGCAACGAAUUCCAGCAAUUCGGAAUUGCAGGCGAUGUCCCUUGCUGACCAACCUCGUGCUCCGAUUUCCCAUACCCUGACCUUGAAGUUGCUACUCAAGAUGUUCGCAGAGUAUUAGAUUGUCCACAACCAUUAAGUUUCUCACUGCUGUGGUACUGAUACUGCAUUUGUUCUCUCAUUUGAGUUAAUUGUAUUUUGUGAAAUUAUUAUACAUUGAUUUUUAGUUAGAACUAAUUUGUGUUUGCAGAACUGGAAUCUAAAAUCAUUGAUAUUUUUUCUCUCAUUUGAGUCAAAAUAAUACUGCUUUGAUUAUGUAGAAGAGAAAAUGGAAUUAAGGUCUAAGCAAAAGGAUUUUGAUGCAAAAAAAUAGAGAAUUCUUAAAUAACAUAUUGGCCGGACAUUAAGGUAGUGUUAUAAGUUUUGAUUGAUUGAUUUAUAAGUUUAAUGAUUUCACAGUGAUAAAAAAAUUUCCUGAGUUGGUUUGAUGCUGAAACUUGAUAUUAAUGAUCAUAUUAUGAAGCAAUAUCAGCAAAAAUGAUGAUCCAGUUGUUUUGGACAAAGUUGUCAAAUCUGGAGGAAGCAAGCGACUUUGAUAAGAUGUUUGUCUAAAUUCAACACAUAAUAAGCGUUAUAGUAUUGUGUGUUUACUUAGUGCAAAGUAAUGUAGUACAAAGUAUGAAGUAGGAUUGAUUGAUUUGAGCAAUUACUGGAAAUUGGUUUAUGUGUAUAUAUGAGUAAUUAGUUAAUAAUUACCUGAACUUAAUGGUAUAUAGUUCUAUUGCUACAAAACAAAUGGAAGAUUCAUCUCCAACUUACAAUACCUGUUACACGGCAUGCAUCAAUUUGGGGAGUAGUUUGUGGAGUUGUUAAAUCUGGUAUACUUGCCUUUUAUGGUCCUUUCAUCUUUUUCUGAUUUGUUAUUUCCUCCUGUUUAUCAUAGCCAUGUUCAGCACUAAAAUUUCAUGCUCUCUACUAUUUUUUUUAGUCUAAAUUGAUUAUUGAAUCAAAUUGCUAGGAUUAAUCUUUUGAAAACCUUUUUAUUCCUGUUCACUUUUCUUUAUUUUAUUUCUAUUAAAAUUUGUCCUAUUAAUAUGAUGUUUGUAUGGAAAAUUUUAUGUGAUAGCCAUGUAUAACUGAUUAGUAUGAUUGUUUAUGAGUUGAAGUAUAUGGGUUUUUUUUUUU